rnacentral:rRNA from 1 species
UACGUAGGGGGCAAGCGUUGUCCGGAAUUAUUGGGCGUAAAGCGCGCGCAGGCGGUUUAUUAAGUCUGAUGUGAAAGCCCACGGCUCAACCGUGGAGGGCCAUUGGAAACUGGUAGGCUUGAGUGCAGGAGAGGAGAGCGGAAUUCCCGGUGUAGCGGUGAAAUGCGCAGAUAUCGGGAGGAACACCAAUGGCGAAGGCAGCUCGCUGGGACGGUACUGACGCUGAGGCGCGAAAGCGUGGGGAGCAAACAGG